rnacentral:rRNA from 1 species
UACGAAGGGGGCUAGCGUUGUUCGGAAUUACUGGGCGUAAAGCGCACGUAGGCGGAUUGUUAAGUUAGGGGUGAAAUCCCAGGGUUCAACCCUGGAACUGCCUUUAAUACUGGCAAUCUCGAGUCCGAGAGAGGUGAGUGGAAUCCGAGUGUAGAGGUGAAAUUCGUAGAUAUUCGGAGGAACACCAGUCGGCGAAGGCGGCUCACUGGCUCGGUACUGAC